rnacentral:snoRNA from 1 species
CAAAAAUAUCGGUUACUGGGCUUCUUUUCUUAUGGUACCCAGUAUUCAAACAGCAGACUCUUCAGUCAUGUACACAGCCCAUUGCUGUUUUGAGUUGCCCUAAAGGAUCUUUGAGACAGCA